rnacentral:snRNA from 1 species
AUCGCUUCUCAGCCUUUUGGCUAAGAUCAAGUGU